AUUUAGCUGAUGAGUCCCAAAUAGUACGAAAUACAAGUCCUGGAU
rnacentral:hammerhead_ribozyme from 1 species